rnacentral:tRNA from 1 species
GGGGCCGUAGUACAAUGGCUAGUACGUAUCCAUGGCAUGGAUGAGUUGGGAGUUCGAUUCUCCCCGGCUCCACCA